UAAGGUGUUGCUAUGGUAUCUGGGGUGGUUGCAAUGAUGUUGCUACGUGGUUGCUAGGGUGUUGCUAUGGUAUCCGGGGUGGUUGCUAAGGUGUCGCUAGGUGGUUGCUAGGGUGUUGCUAGGUGGUUGCUAAGGUGUUGCUAUGGUAUCCGGGGUGGUUGCUAAGGUGUCGCUAGGUGGUUGCUAAGAUGUUGCUAGGUGGUUGCUAAGGUGUUUCUAUGGUAUCUGGGGUGGUUGCUAAGGUGUUUCUAGGUGGUUGCUAGGUGGUUGCUAAGGUGUUGCUUUGGUAUCCGGGGUGGUUGCUAAGAUGUUGCUAGGUGGUUGCUAAGGUGUUGCUAUGGUAUCUGGGGUGGUUGCUAAGGUGUCGCUAGGUGGUUGCUAGGGUGUUGCUAGGUGGUUGCUAAGGUGUUGCUAUGGUAUCCGGGGUGGUUGCUAAGGUGUCGCUAGGUGGUUGCUAAGAUGUUGCUAGGUGGUUGCUAAGGUGUUUCUAUGGUAUCUGGGGUGGUUGCUAAGGUGUUUCUAGGUGGUUGCUAGGUGGUUGCUAAGGUGUUGCUUUGGUAUCCGGGGUGGUUGCUAAGAUGUUGCUAGGUGGUUGCUAAGGUGUUGCUAUGGUAUCUGGGGUGGUUGCUAAGGUGUUUCUAGGUGGUUGCUAGGUGGUUGCUAAGGUGUUGCUAUGGUAUCCGGGGUGGUUGCUAAGAUGUUGCUAGGUGGUUGCUAAGGUGUUGCUAUGGUAUCUAGGGUGGUUGCUAUGUGGUUGCUAAGGUGUUGCUAUGCGGUUGCUAAGGUGUUUCUAAAGUGGUUACUAAGUGGUUGCUAGGCAGUUGCUAACGUUUUCCAUGUGGUUGCUAAGUGGUUGCUUAGUGGUUGCUAAGCAGUUUCUAUCAUUUCUAAAGUGGUUGCUAAGUGGU